AGUCGAACGAUGAAGCCCAGCUUGCUGGGUGGAUUAGUGGCGAACGGGUGAGUAACACGUGAGUAACCUGCCCCCGACUCUGGGAUAAGCCCGGGAAACUGGGUCUAAUACCGGAUAUGACCUCUCACCGCAUGGUGCGGGGUGGAAAGAUUUAUCGGUGGGGGAUGGACUCGCGGCCUAUCAGCUUGUUGGUGAGGUAAUGGCUCACCAAGGCGACGACGGGUAGCCGGCCUGAGAGGGUGACCGGCCACACUGGGACUGAGACACGGCCCACUCUCCUACGGGAGGCAGCAGUGGGGAAUAUUGCACAAUGGGCGAAAGCCUGAUGCAGCGACGCCGCGUGAGGGAUGACGGCCUUCGGGUUGUAAACCUCUUUCAGUAGGGAAGAAGCGAAAGUGACGGUACCUGCAGAAGAAGCGCCGGCUAACUACGUGCCAGCAGCCGCGGUAAUACGUAGGGCGCAAGCGUUAUCCGGAUUUAUUGGGCGUAAAGAGCUCGUAGGCGGUUUGUCGCGUCUGCCGUGAAAGUCCGAGGCUCAACCUCGGAUCUGCGGUGGGUACGGGCAGACUAGAGUGAUGUAGGGGAGACUGGAAUUCCUGGUGUAGCGGUGAAAUGCGCAGAUAUCAGGAGGAACACCGAUGGCGAAGGCAGGUCUCUGGGCAUUUACUGACGCUGAGGAGCGAAAGCAUGGGGAGCGAACAGGAUUAGAUACCCUGGUAGUCCAUGCCGUAAACGUUGGGCACUAGGUGUGGGGGACAUUCCACGUUUUCCGCGCCGUAGCUAACGCAUUAAGUGCCCCGCCUGGGGAGUACGGCCGCAAGGCUAAAACUCAAAGAAAUGACGGGGCCCGCACAGCGGCGAGCAUGCGGAUUAUUCGAUGCAUCGCGUAGAACUUAACAAGCCUGGACAUGUGCAGACCGCUCCAGAGAUGGGUUCCAUCGGGACUGGUUCACAG
rnacentral:rRNA from 1 species